GGCCUAACACAUGCAAGUCGGACGGGAUUGGAGAGCUUGCUUUCCAUGAGAGUGGCGCACGGGUGCGUAACACGUAUGUAACCUACCUUUAUCUGGGGGAUAGCCUCUCGAAAGAGAGAUUAACACCGCAUAACAUCAUUGAGUGGCAUUACUUGAUGAUCAAAUAUUUAUAGGAUAAAGAUGGGCAUGCGGAACAUUAGCUAGAUGGUAAGGUAACGGCUUACCAUGGCAACGAUGUUUAGGGGAUCUGAGAGGAUGACCCCCCACACUGGUACUGAGACACGGACCAGACUCCUACGGGAGGCAGCAGUAAGGAAUAUUGGUCAAUGGGCGAAAGCCUGAACCAGCCAUGCCGCGUGCAGGAAGACGGCCCUACGGGUUGUAAACUGCUUUUGUACCGGAAUAAACCUUUUCACGUGUGAGAAGCUGAAUGUACGGUAAGAAUAAGGAUCGGCUAACUCCGUGCCAGCAGCCGCGGUAAUACGGAGGAUCCAAGCGUUAUCCGGAUUUAUUGGGUUUAAAGGGUGCGUAGGCGGCCUGUUAAGUCAGGGGUGAAAGGCGGUAGCUUAACUAUCGGAGUGCCCUUGAUACUGACGGGCUUGAAUGCAGCUGAGGUAGGCGGAAUGUGACAAGUAGCGGUGAAAUGCAUAGAUAUGUCACAGAACACCGAUUGCGAAGGCAGCUUACUAAAGUGUGAUUGACGCUGAGGCACGAAAGCGUGGGGAUCAAACAGGAUUAGAUACCCUGGUAGUCCACGCCCUAAACGAUGAAUACUCGAUGUUGGCGAUAUACGGUCAGCGUCUAAGCGAAAGCGUUAAGUAUUCCACCUGGGGAGUACGCCCGCAAGGGUGAAACUCAAAGGAAUUGACGGGGGGCCGCACAA
rnacentral:rRNA from 1 species